UUUCGAAAACCACGUACGCCGCCGCCGACAGACAGCCACUGAGGCCUCGUAACCCUUACUACCGGUAACACGAUUCACUGCGAACGGGAAUUACACUUUGCACCGGCGUCGACUAUCCGGGAUCGUACGUGCCAACAAAAUGGACGCGCCUCCAGCUUCCACGGGAUCGGAAGAAUGCGCAAGGCCACCAAGAGUCCCCCCAGUGUCCCUGCCGUGGCACUGAUCCACGCUCAUUGGCCUUUUCGAACCUGAGUUUGCGCGUUACACUUCCCGACACCAGACCAAAUGAAAGAAUACGGAUAAAUGCGCAUAGGCUGUGACACGGACGGAAAUUGAAUACCCGACUGUGUCAGCGAAAUAAAUGAGACGAGUGCCAAAAGCCUCGUCGCGUUCCCUUCCCAUGAAAAAAAGAAGAAAUGCUGAUGCUUAUUGGAACGUCUUCAGAGAGGAGUAAUUUUUUGCUGGCGGCCAUCCGGAAAAAUGCAUCCCAAGAGGGAUUACGUAAGCAACGUACCCGCAUAAAUUGCGCUAAACCGCAUGUACGUUUCUCUCGAGAAAUUAUUGUCGUCGAUCAUACGUCACGUGAAACUCUUUUGUGAGAUAGACAUUUUAAUAACUAUCUUUUAUCUGUAAUAUACGACAAUUCUAUGAUUCGCAAAAUCUAUUAUUGACACGCGGAAACGUGUUUGAAGGAAGGAGGAAAUGGACAAUGUUGAUUACGCAAUAUUGUUUGAAGUAAUAAAGAUAGAUAGCACAUAUGUCACGGUAAUUGAAAUUCAAUUAACGACAGCUGAAUUCACGCAACGAUUCAACUCCAACGGAUGACUUUUUAUCACGGACGUUCGACCGGUAUCUCGUUCUUUUAAGUAGACCCGAGGAAAGCGAAAAUGCGUUACGAGCUGAAACCGGUUCGAUUCGAUCGAAGUAGUAAUCGGGAAUGAUAAUGCGAUCGACACGUAAUUUGACGUUACCAAGCCGUGCCAAUAACACGUGGAUUUUCGUUAAAAACAACGUUCUCAGGUCUCGGAAUAAUUCAGCGAAUCGAGACGAAUCAAGGACGAUUUUAACAGGCGUACGAAAGAGUCCCACGAAAAAUUUACGUUGAUAUUCAAUGCCGGCGUGGAUACAAGGAAACGGAACCGCAUGCGAACUGUACGUCAAGGAUACGAGUUCGACACGAGCGUGCUUCAUCGCCUGAAACUUAUCGAUAUUCUGUAGGUGUUCACGCCACGCACACGAGUGCAAUCAGCUGUACAGUGUACACAGAGUACAACCGUACCCGACUUAUCUUUUGUCUGUCCAAUACGGGACAUUUUUACUUACGACAGCUACAGGUUUAUAAACAGUCGUUUCGUACGCUACGCGGGUUUUUUCUAGAGAACAUACCGAUUUCGAGAACAAAAUUUAUAUCGGCAAGGUGAGAGCCAAGUAUGAAAACGGAUCUUCGUUGAUUCUGGAUCGAAUUUCGAGGUCGGAAGACUUAAGAAACACUAUAUAAUAUGAAUAAAAGAUUUUGUAAAUGCGAACGCAUAGAACGCGUUCCGGAAGGCUUGAGAUACAUUCUACAUAAAUACAUACAUGAUUCUGUAAGUGCGAACGCACAGGACAAUCGCUCCGAUAAUAAUACCAUUCGAUGAAGAUAAACUGUUUUAAAUCGUACGUGUUUCUCUAUCGGUUUUGCAUCAUUGAAACUGUGAUAGCAAAAACUGCAGAAAAACAGAUCAUACGAUUUCGCAUGCAUUAACCAGACGUCAUCGAUUAAAGAUAUUUCUCUGACGUUAACAGGAUAAUCAGAGAACGUGAGUUUCUUUAAUGACUUUAACUUAACGAAACGAAAGAACGUCCAGUAUACACGUAUACGUAUUUAAAUACUAAACAUUUUUGCCUGCUACGUCCUAUCACAACAAUUCGUAUCUGGUUAGCCACCCACUGAUAUCGAACUCGAUAUAAGUACGUACAAUUUUCGCGAAUUCACUACAGAAGGGUCAGAUAAGGCGUUAGUUAUCUGAAUCUUUUACACACACCCUGGUGAACGGUGGGACCUUGUCCCCGAGUCUCGUUCCUCUUCACACGAUGCGACCAAAGCAACAACAACGCACCCUUAAAGCGGAACCAACGAGAUUCUAACGUUCUGCUCGUCGUUCUUUUUUGAUUCACAAGGAAUGAAAUGGUAACUCGUUUCUUUCACGCUAACGAGGAGGAUAUUGCUGUCGACGGUUGUAUACUUAGAA